GGUACCUGGAGGCUUAAAGACCCUUAUGGCCUCCCCUGAAAGCCAGGUGGGGGGAGGCUUCCUGUCGUUGUGCCUGCUUCCUCCUCCUCCUCCACCUCUCCCCCUCCUGCUUCCCCUCCAGCUCACAACACAUCCCCCACCCCGUUUAGCACUGGCCGCCAACAAGGCACCGCGUCAGGAACGCGUCUCCAGGCGGAUCUGCUCUUGCACUUGGCGCCACCGUGAGCACGAGUCUGUGUGUGGAGGGUCAGGCCGUCGCGGCUGACGUGUGUCCCUGGACGGGUGGAGCCCUACAGGCUGAAGGACUCGGGGCCACUCAGAAUAAAGAGAUGCAUCAGCCGUGUCUUCACGAAGGCCAGGAGGCUGGGCCUCUGUCCGGGAGCCUGUCCUGCCGCCAUGCCAGCGUCGUGACCCCUCUGCCCUCAGCGGGCUGCGCUUUCCUUGGGGGUCUCCUUUGUCAAGUGCCCGCACCCUCGGAUGGAGGGUCGUCAUCGGAUUGAAAGGGUGUUCUGAUUCUUGUUUUCCCCAAUGUUCCCGCUAAAAAGGGCGGCCGCGGGAGAGGAGCAUCCUCGAGGCCUUGGGGAGGUGGCGGGAGUGGAGUUCCCGCCCUGUCCCCCUGGCUCCCAGGACAACGUGUCACAUCGCUCGUGCCUUCCUGUCUCAGCACGCGGUCUCCUGCGUUUUGUGUGAACUACUGGGCUGCAUGGACCAAGAAGCAGAGGUGUUGCGAGGGGCGACGGGAGCCGUUGAAGGCCUUUGAGCUGGGAGAGAUGCAAUUGGACUUGCCUUUUGCAAAGAUCACCUUCUGCCCGCCAUCUGGAGACACUUGGAGGAGGGCAGAGGGGACGGGGGGACCAGAACGGGGGUCGGCAAACUACGACCGUGGGCCCCAUCUGGCCCACCCACUGUCUGUUUCUGUCCAUAAAGCUUUAUUGGCACACGGCCACGCCCAUUAUUUUACCUAUCGCCAACGGCUGCCUUCUUGAUGCCCCGGCAGAGUGGAGAGUUGCAGCAGAGGCUGCGUGGCCCCCAACGCCUAACCUACUUACUCUGACCUUUUAUGGAAAAGCUUGCUGACCGCUGGCUUAUAAUGCUGCCUUAGUUUGGGUUGUCCCGGAAGCAGAGCUGAGACAAGGAUGCGACCCCAGGAAGCAGGAGUGAAGGAACAGGAGGGUGAGGAGUGAGGAGAGGGCCUGUGAAGGUACGUGGACAGAGCCUCUGCCGAAGGCAGCAGAGCCCAGUUCUGUGGGGUCCUCUGAGAUGGCAGAAGGUGGCGCCGGAGUGUCCAUGAAGGUUGGGAGAUGGGCAGGCGCUGUCCCCUGGUCCCAUCUCCUAUUGGCCAAGGGUUUCCUCCAGGGGCCUUAGCUCCCCUGCCCAUCGGGCUGUGCUCACGUCGGGGACCCCCGAGAGGUCGGUGGCUUUGGAAAGGCCAAAGGCCGAGAAGUAGACACUGGAACGUGGCUGGCCAGCGUCACAACUGAAAGCAGAGCCGGGCCGAGGGGCCGAGUUCAGAGAUUUAGGAAGUGGGGCCAACAGGAGUUGUGGCUGGGUGGGGUCAGGUAGGUGAGAGCAGAAGUGAAGAGUAUCGACGGAGACCCAGCCUCGAGGGAAGACCUCUGGCUCAGGUCUGGAACGGCCUUGAUCACCCUGACUGUUCCAGAACUUUCAUUGAACUUCUCAGUGAGAUGGACCUCUAGUCUCUGCAGCUGAACGAUGCCCCACAAAUCUCUCCCCCCAGGAUUCACUAAGGAAACUUAAAAAGUUCUUCCCUUUCUCUCGAACAUGCCGUGGGGAGUUGAGAACCCACGAUGCCCAGGAGCGUCUCUGUGAGCAAAGCAUUGAUGCGAUCCUCUCUCUCCUGAGUCGGAAGACAGCUGUCUGCCUAAUUCCUAAUUACGCCCUCCAAAGUCGCAUUAAAUCAUUGCACCGGACACUGCAUUGUGGGAAGUCAGCUGCUGUUUUCACUCGUGUAGCUGUUCUGCAUUUCCAUAGACAGAGCCUGUCUGAAGGGAAAAUGGUACCCUGCCCGUCAGGAUCGCCACCAGAAAUCACAAACCCGGAGGGACGCCGGGAGCGGAAGGUGGAUCAGUGUUCUCCCCACGGAAUAAAUCCUGCCCAGUGCGCGGGCUGGGACUGCCCCUCCUCACCCUCGGACGCAGCUCAGGGACUCCGCGGGUCAUCCCAGGCUGGGGCAGCCGGCGGGAAUCUGCUCGGUGAAUUCCCAGGGCCCCUUCACUUCCGUUUUUCAAGCCGCUUUAUUGAGAUGUAGCUCUCGUACUGUAUAAUUCGCACGCAGAAAGUGUACGUUUAGUGGUUUUUAGUGUAUUCACAGUCGCGCAACCAUCACCACAGUCAAUUUUCGCACCGUUUCGUCACCUCUAAGAUUGAUGAUGAUAUUUAUCAUCCCCCUCCCCCAGCCCCUGGCAACCACUCAUCCACCUUCUGACUCUACGGAUAUCCCUCUUCUGGACGUUUCUUGUCAGCAGGAUCACACGGCGCGUGGUCUUCUGUGCAGAGCCUCCUGCACCGAGCAUCACAUUUUCGGGUUCAUCCAUGUAGCACGUGUCGGAGCUUCGUUCUUUUUUAUGGCUGAGUAAUAUUCCACGCUAUGGGCGUCCCGCGACUUCUAGUGACUCUAGACAUUGCCUCUUGGACCAUCAGUUGCUUAAAAGAGGAGUUGGCGAACAUUUUCUGUGAAAGGCCAAAUAGUGAAUAUUUUCAGCUUCGCUGGCCGUACGGUCUUUGUUGCAGCUACUGAGCUC
rnacentral:lncRNA from 1 species